AGCGCGCCUUCGGGCGAGCGGCGGACGGGUUAGUAACGCGUGGGAACGUGCCCAGAUCUACGAAAUAGCCACUGGAAACGGUGAGUAAUACCGUAUACGCCCUUUGGGGGAAAGAUUUAUCGGAGAAGGAUCGGCCCGCGUUAGAUUAGGUAGUUGGUGGGGUAACGGCCUACCAAGCCUACGAUCUAUAGCUGGUUUUAGAGGAUGAUCAGCAACACUGGGACUGAGACACGGCCCAGACUCCUACGGGAGGCAGCAGUGGGGAAUCUUGGACAAUGGGGGCAACCCUGAUCCAGCCAUGCCGCGUGAGUGAAGAAGGCCCUAGGGUCGUAAAACUCUUUCGCCUGUGAUGAUAAUGACAGUAGCAGGUAAAGAAACCCCGGCUAACUCCGUGCCAGCAGCCGCGGUAAUACGGAGGGGGUUAGCGUUGUUCGGAAUUACUGGGCGUAAAGCGCACGUAGGCGGAUUAGAAAGUUAGAGGUGAAAUCCCGGGGCUCAACCCCGGAACUGCCUUUAAAACUACUAG
rnacentral:rRNA from 1 species